rnacentral:rRNA from 1 species
UACGGGGGGGGCAAGCGUUGUUCGGAAUUACUGGGCGUAAAGGGUCUGUAGGUGGCUUGCUAAGUCAGACGUGAAAUCCCUCAGCUUAACUGGGGAACUGCGUCUGAGACUGGCGAGCUUGAGUGCAGGAGAGGAACGCGGAAUUCCAGGUGUAGCGGUGAAAUGCGUAGAUAUCUGGAGGAACACCGGUGGCGAAGGCGGCGUUCUGGACUGCAACUGACACUGAGAGACGAAAGCCAGGGGAGCAAACGGG